rnacentral:rRNA from 1 species
AGUGAACGCUGGCGGUAGGCCUAACACAUGCAAGUCGAACGGCAGCACAGUAAGAGCUUGCUCUUACGGGUGGCGAGUGGCGGACGGGUGAGGAAUACAUCGGAAUCUACUUUUUCGUGGGGGAUAACGUAGGGAAACUUACGCUAAUACCGCAUACGACCUACGGGUGAAAGCAGGGGAUCUUCGGACCUUGCGCGAUUGAAUGAGCCGAUGUCGGAUUAGCUAGUUGGCGGGGUAAAGGCCCACCAAGGCGACGAUCCGUAGCUGGUCUGAGAGGAUGAUCAGCCACACUAGAACUGAGACACGGUCCAGACUCCUACGGGAGGCAGCAGUGGAGAAUAUUGGACAAUGGGCGCAAGCCUGAUCCAGCCAUACCGCGUGGGUGAAGAAGGCCUUCGGGUUGUAAAGCCCUUUUGUUGGGAAAGAAAAGCAGCAGGUUAAUACCCCGCUGUUCUGACGGUACCCAAAGAAUAAGCACCGGCUAACUUCGUG